rnacentral:misc_RNA from 1 species
GAUGAAGAACGUAGCGAAAUGCGAUAAGUAAUGUGAAUUGCAGAAUUCAGUGAAUCAUCGAAUCUUUGAAUGCACAUUGCGCCCCUUGGUAUUCCGAGGGGCAUGCCUGUUCGAGCGUCAUUAUAACCCCUCAAGCUCAGCUUGGUGUUGGGGCCUGCUGCACUGGCAGCCCUUAAAAUCAGUGGCGGCGCCAUCUGGCUCUAAGCGUAGUAAUUCUUCUCGCUAUGGAGUCCUGGUGGAUGCUUGCCAUCAACCCCCAAUUUUUCUAUGGUUGACCUCGGAUCAGGUAGGGAUACCCGCUGAACUUAAGCAUAUCAAUAAGCGGAGGA